rnacentral:rRNA from 1 species
UUUAAACAGCUGCAGUAAUUUAACUGUACAAAGGUAGCAUAAUAAUUAGUCUUUUAAUUGAGGUCUAGAAUGAACGGUUUAACAUAAUGGAGACUUUAUUAUUUUAAUUUAAUUAAAUUUAAUUGUUUAGUUAAAAAGCUAAAAUUUUUAAGUGGGACGAUAAGACCCUAUAGAUCUUUAAUUUUAUUCAUUUAAUUUUAAGUUGGUUAAUUGAUUUUUAUUUACAUGGAAAAAAUUUUUGUUGGGGUGACAUUAAAAUUUUUAAAACUUUUAAAUUUUUCUACAUUUAUAAAUGAAUUUAUGAUCCUAAAUUUUAGAUUAUUAAACUAAGAUACCUUAGGGAUAACAGCGUAAUAAAUUUGGAUAGUACAUAUUGAUAAAUUUGUUUACGACCUCGAUGUUGAAUUAAAUAAAAAUUUUGGAGUAGAAACUAGAAUUUUGGGUCUGUUCGACCUUUAAACAUUUACG